GAUGAACGCUGGCGGCGUGCCUAAUACAUGCAAGUCGAACGCUUCACUUCGGUGAAGAGUGGCGAACGGGUGAGUAAUACAUAAGUAACCUGGCAUCUACAGGGGGAUAACUGAUGGAAACGUCAGCUAAGACCGCAUAGGUGUAGAGAUCGCAUGAACUCUAUAUGAAAAGUGCUACGGGACUGGUAGAUGAUGGACUUAUGGCGCAUUAGCUUGUUGGUAGGGUAACGGCCUACCAAGGCGACGAUGCGUAGCCGACCUGAGAGGGAGACCGGCCACACUGGGACUGAGACACGGCCCAGACUCCUACGGGAGGCAGCAGUAGGGAAUUUUCGGCAAUGGGGGAAACCCUGACCGAGCAACGCCGCGUGAAGGAAGAAGUAAUUCGUUAUGUAAACUUCUGUCAUAGAGGAAGAACGGUGGAUAUAGGGAAUGAUAUCCAAGUGACGGUACUCUAUAAGAAAGCCACGGCUAACUACGUG
rnacentral:rRNA from 1 species